rnacentral:lncRNA from 1 species
AAGAUAUUUAAAAAAAAAUUUUUUUUUACUAAAUUGAAAGCUUAUGUGUGAAGUAAAAUCUAACUCAGAAGUCUAAGUCUUACAUGAAGAACUGUAUCAGCAUUUCAGUUAUAUUCAUAUCAGCAAAUGCUAACAAACUGAGAGGGAACAGCAGAAUCAAGAGCCAUUGGACCUACCACCAGCUCUAUUGAGUCCAGCUCAAAAAUUCAUCUCCAGUCUGUUCAUUUCUUUCUCUUUUUCUUUCUUUUUUUUUUUUUUCCCCUUGCUUUUUAGGGCUGCACCCAAGGCAUAGGGAAGUUCCCAGACUAGAGUUCGAAUCAGAGCUACAGCUGCCAGCUUAACCACAGGCACAGCAACUCGGGAUCUAAGCCAUGUCUGUAACCUACACCAUAGCUCACAGUAAUGCUGGAUCCUUAACCCACUGAGUGAGGCCAGGGACCAAACCUGCAUCCUCAGGAUCCUAGUUGGGUUCUUAAACCACUGAGCUAUGAAGGGAACCCCUAUUUUUUUUCCCGGUGUGUUCAUGUUUCUUACCUCCACUUGUCACCACCCUUGUCCAUGGCAAAAAUCAUCUCUCCCAUCUGUAUUUCUGUAAUGGGCUAUUAACUUUCUCCUUCUUCUCUUGGCUGCCUCAAACCCCUUCUCCCUGCAGCCAUCAGAUCAAGUUACUUCCUUCUCUGUUACUGUGGCUUUCCAUUCUAUUUCACAUAAAACCUGUUGUUCUUACCCUGGCUUUCAAGGCCCUGCAUGAUCAGGUUCCUUCUUCCUUCUCCAACCCCAUUUCACAAAACUCCCCUUUGCUUAAUCUGCUCUGUAGCCCUUCCUUGGGCCUCUCUCAGUGUUUUGACCUCUACAUAAAUAAUAUCCUCUGCCUCUUUCUCUAUGUUCUUGGCAGAGUUGCUCCUUUUACUUCAAGUCUCAGUUUGAAUAGUGCCUCUUCUUAAAUGCCUUUCUUGAUUACCCUAAUGUAAGUCUGUUUUCCCUCUACAUUAUUCUCUGUCACAGUACAGUGUGUUGUUUCUUUAUAGUUUGUAUCAUAAUGUUUUUUGUUUAUUUAUUUUCUGUUUCCCUCACAAGGCCCAUGAAGGCAAAGACCAGUCUGUUUUAUUGAACACUGACAGUGACUAAUAAUGUCUGGCACAUAGUAGGUGCCUAAUAAAUUUUUUUUAAUUAAUGAAGAGUAGUCUAUAAAUUUGUCAACUGAUAAGUACACAGAGUCCACAAUGGUGAGCAUAUAUGCUAAUAAAACAUGCCUGUGAGUUUAGGAAUAAUUUGAGUAAAUCAUAGAUGCUCUGUCCAUAUGAAUUUUGAAAUGAGAGGUCUGCAGAGUUCAUAACUAGGUAUUCACUAUGAAUCAUACUACAUUUAUUUCAAUCUCCAAACAUGACUUUGUCAGAAUCUGAGUAGGGAGUUGGAGAUACUUGGCUUGAUUCAAUCAGGUGUUUCUUAGGAAGAGAAUAGAGGGAGUGAGAAUAGGAUGUGGAAUAGGGAAUUAUUAAUUCUGAUAGCUUAUUUAUCCUCAAACAUAAUCAGAAGAUUAUACCUGUUAUUUAUGUUUUCUUUGGAAUUCAGAGAGUUUAGCAUAUUUGUUACAUUCAGCGGUGGGUCAAUAAGCAAGAGAAUAAUUACAUUUACCUUAGAAAGUUGGAAAUGAGAAUCGUAUCUCUUUUACUGUGGCAUCCAAUUAAUGAUAAUUCUAAUACAGUUUACGACAAAAGAUAAACCAGUUUCUUACAACAUCAGUAACUGGUACAUUUUUCUUGAUGCCAGAAACCAUGACUUAAGCUUUUUUUUUUUUUUUUUUUUUUUUUCUUCCCCUUUUAGGACCUCACUUGUGGUAUAUGGAAGUUCCAGGCUAGGGAGUGAAUCGGAGCUCCAGCUGCCAGCCUAUGCCACAGCCGUGAGAAUGCUGGAUCCGAGCUGCAUCUGCGACCCUAGCCUCAGCUUUUGUCAAUGCUGGAUCCUUAACCCACUGAGUGAGGCCAGGGAUCAAACCCACAUCUCACAGAUACUAUGUUUUGUUCUUAACCCAUUAAGCCACAACAGGAAUGCCAUCAUUUUUUUCUUAUUUCUAAGAUGGGCCUAAAAGUGAGGGCGACACAUAACAAGGACACACUAUUUCUCGAAUGAAUGGAAAAUUUCAAACCACUCAGAGAACCUAGUUUAAAUUGCUUUUGACCACCAAAUAAACUGAGAAGUGAAUAUAAUUAUAUACGCUGCUGAUUGAAGUAUAUGAAAAUGAAAAAAAAUGUUGUGAAAUAAGUCUCUUUACCCUACACUUAGGGUGAAAACAUUUGAUGAUGCAGGCAACAGUUUUAUUAUAAAAGGAAUGCACAGUAGGUCGUAUGAAAAAUAAAACAAGAAAGAAACCUUUAGGUGGCGGCCAAGAGCUAUGAUUAUGAAUUCUUUUAUGAGAAUUUAUAAUCUUGUUUGAAAGUGGUCAUGUUAAGCGGGUUAUUAAACCACAAAAAUUCAGUACAAAGCAAAUUCAAGAAAAAAAAUUAGGCCUGGAAAGAAAUGGAUUUGAAUGAGUAUAUCAUCGAACAAUCAAUCAAAUCUUAAUUUUGAUUAAAUAUGGGUAUUUUGAUUAUGAAUAUUUUUUAAGAAACCAGAUCUGGGAAGAUAAUCAUAUUGGUAUUGAGUCAUGAAAUUAAUUAGUCUUGACAGUUAAAUAAUUGUUUUAAUCUUGAAAGAAAUCAUCUUCAAGCAAAAUGGUAGCGUUUUAAGAAAUCAGAGAAUGUAAUAAAGAUGUCAAACUGUCCAGAUGCUCAUUGUGCAAUUGGAAACUCCACUCAAAGUUGACACAGGUCUCCAAAAAAAAAGGAAAAAGGUCAAUGAGCUCAUUCAUUCUUGCAACAUCUGCCAGAAGCUAUGGCUUCUUGAAACACUAAUAUGUUUUCUCUCUUUUUUUGUUGCUCUCUCAAAUGAAGAGCCGACAGAAUUCAUCAUAUAUCUCUUUCAGUCCUAGAAAAAAGGGGGAAAGAUGAAAUACUUUUAAAUAAAGCAUUAUGAUUUUGUGAUGAUAUGCAGUAGUUUUUCCUCUCUGCUUUUUGUUUUCAUCAUUAGUCUACUUGAAGGAAAAAUUGUUUUAAGCAUCACUAUUGCAUACUGCUUUACAGUAAUUUUCAUUUAAAAGUUUUUCCAUUAAUGGUUAGUUCUGUUAGCAUUUAGAUUCAUUACACUUUUGACAAUGUUUUGGCAAGUAGACUAAAUAUAGAUAUGUGCUUCCAUUUAAUCCGGACUUCAGUGAUGAAAUAUCUCUAGUUCAAUUCUUGUCCACUUUAGUAACACACAUUUAGCGUCAAUUGUGUGCACACCCAGGACCAUGGAGGAGAGAAAACAAAUAAAAGACAAACUCAGUACAUAUGGAGUUGACAAGCUUUCUAGAUGAAAUAAGAGAAUAGAAACAAAAUACUAUAGCAAAAACAACACGUUAUCAUUAUCAUUAUUAUUAUUAUUAUUUGUCUUUUGUCUUUUUAGGCCUGCACCCUCAGCAUAUGGAGGUUCCCAGGCUAGGGGUCAAAUCAGCUACAGCUGCCAGCCUCUACCACAGCCCACACCAACGCGGCAUCUGAGCUGUGUCUGCGGCCUAUACCACAGCCCAUGACAACACUGGACCCUCAACCCACUGAGCAGGACCAGGGAUCAAACCUGCAUCCUCAUGGAUACUAGUCGGGUUCGUUAACCACUGAGCCACAACAGGAACUCCAACAAUACAUUAUUUUUGAGUAAUAAGAAGAGAAGGAAAAGUGUGAGUUGAUAUUAACUGAGAAAAGCUCUGCAAAGAAAAUAAAAGUAAACUGGUAGCUCCCCAGUAUAUUGUUGGGAAAGUAAAUGCUUUAAUUUAAAAAAAAACUAUUUCAAUUGCUUAAUGUUAAUAUUCCAUUAACAGUAGUGCAGAACAGUUUCUUUCCUAAAUAUUUUUCACUAUGUUUAGUCAGUGAAGCUGGUGACAACUCUUCUCAAACAUUUAGUAUGUUGCUGGAUUACAUGGCAAACUGCACAAAAAAAGAUUACCCAGAAAUUAUUUCAGUUUUCUAGUCUAGGAGUAAAUGCAUGAUGAAAACCCAAGUUGAACCUAUGGGAUUUAAGUGGUAGAAUUAUUUUCUCUGUCACCAGUAUCUUCAAACUGAUAUUCCUGAAGCUAGGAAUCAGAGAGUUGGCCCUCACCCUGACUCUGAUAGUGGAUAUGGUGAUAAAAUCAUGGUCAGGAUACAUCAUUUCUCUAGAAGAAUCUUCCUUCUGUGUAACAUGAAAGAGAACUAGAUGAUCUCUAAAUUUCCUCUUAACUCUAAAAUGUUACACUUCAGGAUUUUUAGAGAAUAAAAACAAAAUAUUAUUCAACAUUAUUGAAGUAGAAAAUGUGUAUGGCAUAGUUUCAGGGAGAAUUACAAAAUGAAUCCAACUGAAUACAGGGCCCCAUACAUAGGUCAAGAGUGACCCCCUAGAAUUGUGCAGUGUUCAGCUUACAUGACUGUAUAUGUUGGCUGUAAAAUUAUAUCAAUAGUAAGGAAAAGAAGAUUUAGAAAAUUCCUCUGUAUUAAAAUUUUUAUUAUAAUAGAAUUUUAAAAUAGAAUAAAUUUGAUUUAGUUUCUAAAUCAUGGUCCUUUUUUAGAACUGUUAAAUGUAAAAGCAGUAAACUGAAGAAAACAGAAAGGGUAGUCAUCUUAACUACGAUGAAUGAAAAUGAUUGUCCAAGGUUUGAAUGUUACGAAGCCAGUAGAUAAACUAGGGAAUGAAUAUUUUCUCAUGGAUUUAAAAGACUGAAAAUUCUAUCAGUGGAUGAAUGUGACUUUUAGGUACCUUAUAAAUAUAAUCUAUAUUAAAAUUUAAUUUCAAGUAAUCUGCCAUUAUGCUAAUGUAUUUAUAUGUGGGUGUGUGUCUGUGUGUGUAUAUAUAUACAACUUAUAUAGCUAAUGAUUUAUAUAGUCAUGAAUAAUUCAGAUAUUGGGAUAUAAAUCUCAUUAGUUCAAAGCAAUGCAUUUAAACCUGAAUGAUCAUUUAUUUUUGAAUGCAAUUCUCUUUUGAAUACUUUUGGAAAUUAGGUGAAAGUCUAUAAGAGAAAGAUGAACAUUCUUACUCUCAUAUUUAAAAAAAAUUCAAAGUAUAUGUCGCUUCAUAUGGAUCAGGAAAAAAUUAUUAAAAUUUUAAAAUUCUAUAUUAAAGAAAUUUUUAUGAUUCUAUCUGCAUAAGGAAUAAACAAUAUAAACUGAUGCCAAUGCUCCCAUCUCUAACACUACAAAAAUAAGUAGAAGUAAAACUUUUGUGUUUUAUUUUGUUGUAACUAUUGCUUCAAAAGUUACACCUUAAUCCAGGGCCAUGUCUUUAUUCUGCUGCUUAUCAGUUAACCAUAUUAAAACUGACAGUAGUAACGGCAUGAACCUAGCCAGAACACAGAAUGGAACUUGAACCCACGUGCGGAGACUCAAACCCAGUCUAAAGCCAGAUUGGGGCUUAAACCCACUGUUUUAAAUUAGAAUCACCUGGUGUCUGCACUCACUGAGGUUCAGGUUCUUCAUGCCUCAUGCAGAAGCAAUUCAGUGAGAGACAAAGAAAUGGGAAGACAUAGGUUUAUUAACAUAGGAUGUUUGUGAGAAAUGCAAGCAGGCAGGCAAGGAGGCUCUGCUCCGAGGAUUAGGUGGGCUACAGUUUUAUCAUCCAAGGAGAGUGGGGGUUGGAAAAGACCACCUAUUCCUCUUCUUUGAGCAUAGCUCCUCCUUAGUAUCCAGUAAGGUGUGUAGUCAAAUCAGCAGAAGGGAGGUCCUCAAACUCCUGCCCUUGGUCUGAAUCUGAAUGCAGGCCUCAUCCCAUUACCACACAAUGACCUGAGGCAGUCAAGCAAGCCUGCCUUGUGCUCAUGGCUUUCUUGAGCAAUUAUUAACUUACAGUGAUCUCCCAAUGUCUCCUGAGUUCCCCUCUUUAUCUGUGGUCCCUUAUUGGGACUUCUACAACUACCUGUACCUACUCCAUCCCUAUUGUAUAUAUUUCAGGUAUACAAUAUUAUAUACAAAAGUUAUUUUAUCUUGAGUGGCAGCAACUCAGAAUGCUAGACUUGAUUUCAGAGUCCUGUCAUUCAUUACUUGAUUAGAGUGAAAAUACCUGAUCCGUACAAAUAAAUACGAUAAAUCUCUCAUUCCAUCUGAUUCUAUUCACUGUGAACUACAGGGAGAACAAAGAGACCGGUUAACAAAAAGUCUACUAUUGAAGGUGCUAUUUCCUAAGGCUAAUUUUUCAUCCACUUUUGUCAUAUUACAGAUAAACUUUAAAUUGCUCCAAUCAUAAUCUUUUGCACAAAGUCAAUGGGACUGGGAUUCAAACAAUCAAGAAAAAGUAAUACAUGGAAGGAGAGAAAAAAACAAUUCAUAGAGAAACAUGCAUAAUAAAGAUAGAGCGUAAUGCACAAAUUUCUAGAAGUGAGAAAACAGAGAGACCAUAAAGGUAGCAAGAACAAAAGUAACCUAAAUGCAGGGAAGGAGACUGAAAAUAAGGAUAAUACAAAACUAAGAUUGAAAAGGGAAGAGAGUAAGGAAUGAGUGAAGGUAGGAAAAAAGUGACAAAAGUUUAGAGAAGAAACAGCAGAACAGAGUGGGAUAAAGGAGGUCAUGGCUUGAGAGCAAAAACGCAAAGAGUGGAGGACAGCAGACAAAGAAGUGAGAUUCAAAUGGAGAGGGUCCAAUUGACUAGAUUAUAAAAGUGGUGCUAAAAGUAGGCAGGCAGGAGUGAGGGAGGUCGCAGAACAAACAGCUUCCAGAGCCAAUGAUUUUGCUUUGUUUUUAGUAUUUUUAAUUUUAAUUUUUAAAAUUUUAUUGGAGUAUAGUUGAUUUACAAUGUUGUGUUGGUUUCAGGUAUACAGCAGAAUGAAUCAGUUUUAAGUAUACAUAUAUCCAUUCCUCUUCAGAUUCUUUUCCCAUAUAGGUUAUUUGAGAAUAUUGAGUAGAAUUCCCUGUGCUAUAAAGUACAUCCUUGUCUGUUAGCUGUUUUACAUAUAGUACUAUGUAUAUGUUAAUCUCAAAUUCCUAAUUUAUCCCUCCCACCUGCUUUGUUUUUUAUCAGUGGAAUUUAUGCCGCUUGAAUGGAGCUUGCAAAUGAGUGUGAAUUAUUUUACUGGUAUCAUUUAUCAUUCCAGAUCCUCCUAUAAUAAUACUAGGAAAUUAACAUAGUGGUGUGAGCCAUAACUAGGGCUAUCAAAAUCCCUUUAUAUAUGACCAAAACAACCAAAUUUCCAUCUAUUUGCAGUUUCCAGUCUCUAUUCAAAUGGCAUAAACUGAUAAUAAGUUGGCUAGGAAAAUUCUGGAUA